GUGAGUCAUCGAAUCUUUGAACGCAUCUUGCGCUCCUUGGCAUUCCGAGGAGCAUGCCUGUUUGAGCGUCGUUGAACUCUCAGAACCCUAUCAGGGGGGAUGUGCUAAGCGUCCUUCCUGUUGGGGGGGUGGAUUGUGGAGGAUGCAAUGCUGUCCCAAUAAGACUUUUGCUUCUCUGAAAUGUACUGGCAUUGCCAUCGGUAUGAUACAUGUGUCUAUACCGUGCAGCCAGUUGCAGGACUCUCUCACGAUUUGACCUCAAAUCAGGCAGGACUACCCGCUGAACUUAAGCAUAUCAAUAAGCGGAGGA
rnacentral:misc_RNA from 1 species